GGGAGCAUGGAGUUGAAAGAAAAGCACAGGAUAUGCAAGGUUGGUCCUAGGGGUGAGCGCGGUUCCCGGGAGAACCGGGAACUGGAGAACGGACUCACCCGGUUCCCUUUUUUCUGGGAACCGGGUUAAGGUUCCUAAAACCUAAAAAGUAGAAACCCACUUCUCAGUUCACACUUCAAUUGAAUCAAUUUGUUUACCCUUCUCCCGUUCUCUGCCCAACCCUCGUCCCUCCGCUGGUCGCUGCUCGUGUUGUCCCUCUGCUGGUCCGCUGCUCGUCCCGCCGCUGGAUGCCGCUUGCCCCCCGACAACGCCCUCAACGCCGCCGCCACCCUGUCCUUGCCUCCCUCAACACUGCUCGCACCCCGGUCGCCCCACCACUGGACGACGCCGGCCCCCCCAUUGGACUCCGCCCUUACCAACUUGGGAUUCUGCUCAAAUUGAUUGAACCCUGUCUCUUGUUAAUCGAUGUCAAUGUCAACGGGGGUUUCUCAACUGUUUUCACAUCCUUCCCAGUAGAAAGAAACCAUUACCGAUUCUCAACGAUGUCAGCAGAAUCAUCAAGCCUCGCAGGCUCUGGAAAGGCCACCUUACUUCUACCAUUAGCUGGGAAGCUCGGCAAAGAUUUGAAGUUUUCAGGAAGAGUCACGUACAACGGACACGGGAUGGAAGAGUUUGUACCGCAGAGGACAUCGGCUUAUAUAAGUCAAUAUGAUCUCCAUAUAGGAGAAAUGACUGUUAGGGAAAUUCUUGCUUUCUCAGCCAAGUGUCAAGGUGCUAGACCCUGUUAUGAAAAUUAUGAUAUCAGUGUAAUCUCUGCAUUAUAAGCACGGCUAGCAUUGGGGUGUGAGUGCUGUUGCAGUGAGAUACUUCUUUCCUGGCCUGAGCUCGAAUUUAUUGUCAUCUCAAUUGCAAGAUCUGUGACAAGAUAGGAUACCCAGAUCACAUAAUGAAUGGUGCAUACUGUAUUUGAAUGGAUUUGCAAGCCUUGGUUGCGAGAGAUUAGGCUUGGAGAGCAUAUAUCCACCAGUGAAUACAAACUACUACAAAAUGGGUUCAUCAGAAUAUGGUAGUAAUUACUCGUAUGAUCAUUCGUAUGAAGUGGAUGGUCAUGGACAAGCCUAUCAUGAGAUUAGAAGACCUAUGGUUAGCCCUUCAAUGACUAAUGAGCACUCCUGCAGUAAGAAGGGGAUGGGAGGGGAUUGCAAAUAGUGAAUCUCGUCACCACUCUGCAGCAUGGGAGUUCUAUGUUUUGCAGCAGUGCAUCAACCUUAUUGUUGAUAGUGUAAUUUUUUUUUUUUUGCAGGUACUAUUUCAGAUUUUAUUGUUUUAACCUCAUUAGAAGGUGAUUAAGCAUUGCGUAAUUCUCAUCAUAAGUCGCUGGCAUGGUUUUUCGUGGCAUAA